CUUAAUAUGGAGCAGGACUUUAGCAUAAUUCCUAGUAUAUAGUAAGUGCUCAGUUCGUUUUUUUCUGAAUACGUUUUUGGUUCCUAUUGUAUCGGUUUAUUCCAACUGUGCAUCUAUCACCUACUAGAUGAUGACCUGUGGGUAAUGUACUGGAAGGGAUAAUGAACUUGGGAGUUAGGUGUUGGAUAGACCAAGGAUAGUUGCUUCUUCACCUUUGGGAUAUGUGGUUUUAGGAGGGGUGAGCGUUGCUUUGUGUAUUUUGAACGUCAGUAGAUACGAAAGUGCUUCAUAAAGUGUUCUGUGUUGCUGUUAUUAGGAGUUCACAUCCACCCUCAUGUCUGCAUGGCAAGAUGGCAGAGGGAGACCACAGGAGGCCUGGCGUGCAGCCGACAGAGCACUGCAAACCCAAACGUCACGUCCCCUGACUCCUCUCAGGCUGUUUCUCACAAAGAGGCAAGAUUUCCACUACUGAACAAGCACUGCUGUGCAAGCAUUGGGCAGUGGAAGUCGAGUCAUGCUUAAAUGGGGGAGCGAGACUGGGCAUACUGGCUGGUGAAGACAACAGCUCCUGCCCCGGGCCUCUCUACCUACAUUCUCCCUAAGGUCUGUACUGUCAAUGGUAGCUACCAACCACAUGCAAAUAUACACAUUUACCUGA